AGCCUUCCGGCUGGGAAGAGGCUCGAGGCACGUCUGUGACAUCAUUUCUGCGCGACCCUUCAGGUCAGAGUUUUCCUGCUGCUCUUCAGAACUAUGCCUAAAGUAGUGUCCCGGUCGGUAGUCUGCUCCGACACCCGGGAUCGGGAGGAGUAUGACGACGGCGAGAAGCCCCUCCACGUCUACUACUGUUUGUGUGGCCAGAUGGUCCUGGUGCUGGACUGUCAGUUAGAGAAACUGCCCAUGAGGCCCCGGGAUCGGUCCCGGGUGAUCGAUGCUGCCAAACACGCCCACAAAUUUUGUAACACAGAAGACGAGGAGACUAUGUAUCUUCGGAGGCCUGAAGGCAUUGAACGACAAUACCGGAAGAAGUGUGCCAAGUGUGGACUGCCACUCUUCUACCAGUCCCAGCCGAAGAACGCUCCUGUGACCUUCAUCGUGGAUGGAGCAGUGGUCAAGUUUGGCCAGGGUUUUGGCAAAACAAACAUCUAUACGCAGAAACAGGAGCCUCCUAAGAAGGUGAUGAUGACCAAACGGACGAAAGACAUGGGCAAGUUCAGCUCUGUCACGGUGUCUACGAUUGACGAAGAGGAAGAGGAGAUCGAGGCUAGAGAAGUCGCUGACUCGUACGCGCAGAAUGCCAAGGUCAUUGAAAAGCAGCUGGAGCGCAAAGGCAUGAGCAAAAGGCGGCUGCAGGAGCUGACUGGCAGGUAUCAGCUCUGGUUUGAAUCUCUCUGCUGUCGGAAGAAAAUCCAUAAAAAGCUAGAAUGUACGUAGAGCUUCCUUUACUUGAUGUUCAGAGAAACCUGCCCAGUCACAGACUCCAGAAACAGCACAGCCUUGCUUCCUGUACUUCAAAUAUUAAAGCUCUGGGCAUGCUCUACCAACUGAGCCGGGCCAGGCGCCCCUAAAGGUCCCUUCUCAGUCCCCGGCUUGCACCUGCCAGAGAGAGACAGAGCAUGAGCAGGGAAGGGGCAGAGAGAGAGGGAGACACAGAAUCGGAAGCAGGCUCCAGGCUCUGAGCCAUCAGCCCAGAGCUCGAUAUGGGGCUCGAAUUCACAGACUGUGAGAUCAUGGCCUGAGCCGAAGUCGGAUGCUCAACUGACUGAGCCACCCAGGCGCCCCGUAGGCUUCAUGCCCAGCAGAGAGCCCAGUGCGAGGUUUGAACUUACCACCCUGAGAUCAAGACC